ensembl:lncRNA
AGAAAUAUUCACACUCAAGUACAGGCACAAGUGAGAAUAGUAAUAUUUAUUUACCGAAUAUCCUCUUACCUUCUCAAUGAGUUCAAUGCAGGCAGCCAAGUCCAUCCCAAAGUCAAUGAACGCCCAUUCAAUGCCUUCUUUCUUGUACUCCUCUUGCUCCAGAACGAACAUGGUGUGGUUGAAGAACUGUUGCAGUUUCUCAUUUGUGAAGUUAAUGCAAAGCUGCUCCAAGCUAUUGUACUGAUAAUUCAAAAGAAGCAAUUAUUUCAACUGACUGUUGUCUUUUAUGUCUUGAUUCUUUCAGACACAUUAAUGACUGAUACUCACAUCAAAUAUCUCAAAUCCAGCGAUGUCCAGCACACCGAUGUAGAACUCUCUAGGAUUCGUCGUGUUCAACAUCUCAUUGAUACGGACGACCAUCCACAAGAACAUUUUCUCAUAGACAGACUUGCAGAGUGCAGAGACUGCAUUGUUCACCUGAGAAAUUCAAAGUUAAAUGUGUUGAUGAAGUCUUCACCUGUGGUACUGUCUGGCCUUUGGUCACCAUCUCAUUCCCGACCUUCACUCUGGGGUAACACAGAGCUUUCAGCAUGUCAGCGGAGUUGAUGCCCAUGAGGUAGGCGAUUUUAUCAGCCGCUAAGGAAGCAGAGUUUUAUGCAUUAUUGUUGAUAAUUAAGUCACUGUUUAUAUGUUCAUCUGUGCUAAAAUGUGAUCUUACCCUCAUUGCCGUCAGGUUCGGCCUGCUCCUCUCUCUGCUUCUGUUUGAACUUCAUGGCCCCAUGAUGCAUCACAGCACCUGUCAGCUUGUAGAUGCUGAUCUUCUCAUCAGCAGUGAAGCCCAGAAUGUCUAUAGCAGUCUGUUUUUACACAGACCAAAUAAAUCAAUGGUUUAUUGGAGUAUUUCAUACUGUCAUGCAGUAUUCAGUUCAAACUGGUGAUUUUCUGAUGUUUGUUUGCUCAGAAAUGUUGCAUAAAAUCUAAAAAUACUACUACUACUAAUAAUGAUAUUGCAGUUGUCCACAUACAUCUGUGGCAAUGAACUCCUCCACAUCAUCGAUGCUCUUGACAGUGAUUUCACCCUGGCUGAUCAUUGGAUAGUCGUAAGGGUUGGUGGAGAUGAGCAGGGCCUCUGUAAAGAGUUGAAGUGCAGUAUAUUGCCAGUGCUCUCAAACAUAGAAAUAAGUGAAAACACAAUCCUGUAGAUUUCUCACCGAGCAGCUCUGGCUUGUGUCCAGUCAUGAGCUGGUAGAAGAUGUGAUAGCUCCUCUCAGCAGACAGCUGGAAUGUUACCCUUGACUUUUCCAGCAGAUCUUUCCACGAAAAAAAAAGACAUUGUGUUUAAUUGAUUAACCCACAUCUUAGCCUUCAAAUAAAAUGUUUUUCUUAAAACAGUGUUGACUCACAAGUUUCAAUAUCUGCUUUGGCCAGUUUACCAGUGGUCCCAAAGUGAAUCCUGAUGAAUUUACCCUAGAUUGAAAUCAUUGAUAAAAGCUCAACUGUUUGCCUGCUUUGAAAUUGAAAAUGUAUGAUGUUAUUAAUGAUGAUUCAUAGGUGCAACUUACAAAACGAGAGGAGUUGUCGUUCCUUAUAGUCUUGGCGUUACCAUAAGCCUCCAGCAGAGGGUUGGCUGCAAUGAUCUGGUCCUCCAGAGAUCCCUAGAUGUAAUUGUAGCACAGUGGAGAGUCAGGAGGUGAAUCACAAACACUGUCAUCAAUAACAUCGUCUAGAAAAGGGAUUCACUAACCUGCAUUUUUCCAGAGGCAGACUCUGUCUUCUUUGGACCAGCCAUCGCAACAGUUGCAAAGUACUGAAUGACACGUUUUGUGUUCACAGUCUUUCCUGCACCGGAUUCUCCACUGGAGAUAUAUACCAGAUCAUCAUUUAAUCAUGAAUCUUUUACUGAUUUACAAUUAUAACUGAAAAACUUCAGGUUGUGUCAGCAGAAGAAUAUUUACUCACGUAAUCAGGAUAGACUGAUUCUCACGAUCUGAAAUUAAACCGUGAAAUGUUAACAGGAUUAACUUUUUCCUUUUAGCAUUGGUAUUGUUUUAAUAGGUGUCACCAUUUUUUUAAAUAUUCAUAUAAGUGCAUAUAGAAGAAGGUAACUUUUAAUACAAUAAUGUAAAAUAAUGGUUAUGAAGCACUCACUGACUGAACAUUAAUUUGUACUUUAUCACUCAGUUUCCU